AGUGAACGCUGGCGGUAGGCCUAACACAUGCAAGUCGAACGGCAGCACAGUAAGAGCUUGCUCUUACGGGUGGCGAGUGGCGGACGGGUGAGGAAUACAUCGGAAUCUACUUUUUCGUGGGGGAUAACGUAGGGAAACUUACGCUAAUACCGCAUACGACCUACGGGUGAAAGCAGGGGAUCUUCGGACCUUGCGCGAUUGAAUGAGCCGAUGUCGGAUUAGCUAGUUGGCGGGGUAAAGGCCCACCAGGGCAACGAUCCGUAGCUGGUCUGAGAGGAUGAUCAGCCACACUGGAACUGAGACACGGUCCAGACUCCUACGGGAGGCAGCAGUGGGGAAUAUUGGACAAUGGGCGCAAGCCUGAUCCAGCCAUACCGCGUGGGUGAAGAAGGCCUUCGGGUUGUAAAGCCCUUUUGUUGGGAAAGAAAAGCAGCAGGUUAAUACCCCGCUGUUCUGACGGUACCCAAAGAAUAAGCACCGGCUAACUUCGCG
rnacentral:rRNA from 1 species